GUUUUCAAAAGCUGCGGUAGGAAAUACAUUGUGUAUAUGACUUUGCCCAGGAAAGUGAGACAUCCAGAGAACUUCAACUCUAAAAACUUUGCUAAAAACUUACUGCUAUCAAGCCCAGUAUCUCUUCUCAAGAGAUGGGCAAAAAAAGUGACAGUGAAAAGGUGAGAGGACAGGAGGCUACUCCCAGGUGGCGUGCUCUCUUUUUGAGCUGUUUCCUCUGUGGUGUGUGUAAGUGCUCUUCAGAUCAGGACAAUGCGGAAGACGGACAAGGCGGGGACCAGCGGGCGGCCCGAGAGGAAGCUACGCCGUCCACCAGCCAGCAGGGACCACAGGCUCCGAGGAGAGAGAGCGCGAAAGAGAAGAAGGCCCGAACGAAAGAGGCAAAACUCAGGGAGAAGGAGGGAAAGAGAGAGCAGGACAGGAUGAGGAACACCCCGGUUUGGUUUGCCCGUGUCGUGGGCCGACCGCGGUCGGCGACUGCACACGCUCAGACAAACAGGGCAGCGACGGCCAAGGCAUCUGAGGAGGAACAAGAGGCGACGACAAAGGGACCAGUCUCCGUCGCGGAAGCCUGCCUGGAAACCUUCUUCAGGAGGCAGGAGAUGGACCAGAAGAGGCUCGUGGGGAACUUCAACAUGUACAUGCGCAUGGAACUGAUCAAGGCCAACAGGAUGUGGAACGCUAUGCCCCUGAGGGAUGACGAGGCCGUCAGGAAGGUGACCUUCCGUGCCCCCAGCCCGCCCGGACCCGCUGAGGUCUUCCUUCCCGCCCGCGGAGCAGUCUGCCGGAGAGACCUUGACUGGAGAGGUGAGGAGUGCUUGGCUGAUGCGGUGCAGAUCAGGCAGCUUGAGACUGAGUCUGAGGCUCCAGUGGUAGCUGCCGUGGUCACAAAAGAAGAGACUGAGCCUAUGUUUCAGCCAGUGAUGAGCCGAGCAAAUGAUGACACCAGAGUCACAGUGCCCCAUGUUGUGGGCACUUGUAUCACAUUUUUUAUGAGUAUUGGUUUCUUCUUCCUCCUGUGCUUCUUAGAGGAGCUUUUUGACUUCAGUAGGCACUGGCCAGAUUGACCGACUGCCUUAAUGUGGCAAGGGACCGGACGGGGGUGUGGGUGACGGUGAUGGCUUGAGAGGGGGUCAAGAGAGUUUUCGGCCACUCUGAAGAACAUGAAAUGCUCUUCAGAGAAACUAUAUUUAGUUGAAUUAAAAAUGGAGAGGUGACUCAGAAGACUAAUGGAGAAGCAGGAGAUGAGCUGCAACCCUGACAGAGAAGAGCAGAGAUGAGGAUGAGAGGAGAGGGAUGGAGAGCAAAUGAGUGUCAAGAGAGGACAGGAAAGCAAAGAACACAUGAGGAGAGGAGAAGGAGGAGAAGAGGGGAAUGGAGAGCAAAGGAACAUGAGUGGAGAGAAAAGCAAAGAAAAAGGCAACAGAUGAGAACAUAUCAAAGAAAAAGACAUGAGGAGAGGAGAAGGGGGGAAUGGAGAGGAGAAGAGAGGAACGGGGAAAGUGAGUGAACAGAAAAGGACAGCAGAGAGGAGAACAUAUCUAAUCAAAGAAAAAGACAUGAGAGGAGAGGAGAGCAAAUAAGUCAAAGGAGGAGAGGAAAGCAAAGGAGAAGACAGCAGAGAACAGAUAAAAAAAGGCAAAGAAAAAGACAUGACAGGAGAAGAGAGUGAAAGGGAAAAAAAGGAGACCUGACGAUCCAAGGGGCAAUGAGAAGAGGAGGCUAGCCAUCCUAGCAGACACAGAAGUGAAUAGAUGUAGAGGUACAGGCAAGGAACAUUGCAACAGGGGCUUUUUAAGCAUACUCUCAGACUCAUCAUCAAUCAUGAAACUGCCACCAGUUCCUGAGACAUCACUCAGGGAUUACAGUAUUUCAACUCCUGAUUUGCUAUGGUCAGAGCCUAGACCAGAACAACACCAGACUACAUAACUGGAGUAAAAUCUCUAUUACUAUCAGCUGUUGAUGACGCAACAAUUUGCACGGAAGAAAUAAAAGUA